CCUACGGGCGGCAGCAGUGGGGAAUAUUGCACAAUGGGGGAAACCCUGAUGCAGCGACGCCGCGUGAGUGAAGCAGUAUUUCGGUAUGUUAAGCUCUUUUAGCCGGGAAGAAAAUGACGGUACCUGAUUAAGAAGCCCCGGCUAACUACGUGCCAGCAGCCGCAGUACUACGUAGGGGGCAAGCGUUAUCCGGAUUUACUGGGUGUAAAGGGAGCGUAGACGGCAGCACAAGUCUGUAGUGAAAUGCCGGGGCUUAACCCCGGAACUGCUUUGGAAACUGUGCAGCUAGAGGGCAGGGGAGGUAAGUGGAAUGCCUAGGGUAGCGGUGAAACGCGGAGAUAUUAGGAGGAACACCAGUGGCGAAGGCGGCUUACUGGACUGUAACUGACGUUGAGGCUCGAAAGCGUGGGGAGCAAACAGGAUUAGAUACCCCUGUAGUC
rnacentral:rRNA from 1 species